UACAAAAAACUCUGAAACUUAGGCAAGAGAGAUACGUACAAAAAAGAAUAUAGAGGUAUUUAUAUACAUGAAUAUUGGCAUGCACUUCAGCAUUAAUAGUCUACCACUGGUUAAGUUUAUAUUUUAACAUGUUUCAGAUAAUAAAGUUGGCAAACUUGAUACUUUGCCAAUAUUUUAAAACCUUGCAUUCAAACUUAGAAAGAAAGAUCAAUCGUGCCAUUCGACUAGCUGAACUCUACAAGCCCUACCUGUUCUUCAAAGGAAUUUUCAAUGAUUCCAAUGUUGAAAUGUUGCAAAUGAUAACAAGAGAAAGUAAUGCAGAUGAUACGUUUAAUUUUGAUCCAACAACUAUUCAGUGGGAACAAUACUUCAAGGAAAUUCAUAUUCCCGGAUUAGUGAAGUACAUUUUCUAAGAAGGAAGAAUUACGCGAAUAAAGAAGGCUAGUAUGCCACUCUGCUUAAAGCUGUGUUGCUGCUUAAAUUCCAUUUUGUAGUUUUUUAAGUAACUACGUUAGUUCCAGAAACAGUAUUGAUUCUAAAUAAAGGAGGCUAAUAUGCUACUUUGCUUACCGUAGAAAUCUGUGUUUGCGCUGCUUAAAUUCCAUCAAGAAAAUAUUGGCAUUAUUAUAUGUAAAGAAAUUGAAGGACUAUUUUUGCUAUUUCACAAAAAUGAUUGAUAACUAUUGCCACCAGCAAACUGAACUCAAA